ACUGAACGCUGGCGGCAGGCCUAACACAUGCAAGUCGAGCGAGCGGCGGACGGGUGAGUAAUGUCGGGGAAACUGCCUGAUGGAGGGGGAUAACAACUGGAAACGGUAGCUAAUACCGACAACCAUCAGAUGUGACCAGAUGGGAUUAGCUAGUAGGUGGGGUAACGGCUCACCUAGGCGACGAGCCCUAGCUGGUCUGAGAGGAUGACCAGCCACGCUGGAACUGAGCCACGGUCCAGCCUCCUACGGGAGGCAGCAGUGGGGAAUCUUGCACAAUGGGCGCAAGCCUGAUGCAUCCAUGCCGCGUGUGUGAAGAAGGCCUUCGGGUUGUAAAGCACUUUCAGCGGGGAGGCGUUACCCACAGAAGAAGCACCGGCUAACUCCGUGCCAGCAGCCGCGGUAAUAC
rnacentral:rRNA from 1 species